CCUGGCUCAGAACGAACGCUGGCGGCGUGCCUAACACAUGCAAGUCGAGCGCGAAAGGGGGCCUUCGGGUCUUCGAGUAGAGCGGCAGACGGGUGAGUAACACGUGGGUAACCUGCCUCUGGGUGGGGGGAUAACCACCGGAAACGGUGGCUAAUACCGCAUAAGACCACAUCCUUACGGGGAGGGGGUCAAAGGUCCUUCGGGGCCGCCGAGAGAGGGGCCCGCGGCCGAUUAGCUAGUUGGCGGGGUAAUGGCCCACCAAGGCGACGAUCGGUAGCUGGUCUGAGAGGAUGAUCAGCCACACUGGUACUGAGACACGGACCAGACUCCUACGGGAGGCAGCAGUGGGGAAUAUUGCGCAAUGGGCGAAAGCCUGACGCAGCAACGCCGCGUGGGUGAUGAAGGCCUUCGGGUCGUAAAGCCCUGUCAGGUGGGAAGAACCCCUCGCAAGAGGGUUGACGGUACCACCGAAGGAAGCACCGGCUAACUCCGUGCCAGCAGCCGCGGUAA
rnacentral:rRNA from 1 species